UGGCAUCGCGGGAGUCUUCAAGGGAUAAAUAAAACACCCGAGGCAAGAGUCGAGAGCCUUUCCAAAUGUACACAAAGAGACGAAAUAUACAUUUAGUUCGCACAGUGUCAUCGGGGGGGAUUACCCGACGUAUUUCAUCUGGGGCUUUUUCCUUCUUUUUUCAACAUUAAGGCGGAGUUUGCGGCUGACCUAGGCAAACCACGUGUCGAGUUGUCUCUUUGUCCCUCUCCAUUCUCUUUUCCUCCUCUUCUUUGUACUCUAUUGCUUUUAUUUCCUACGCUUGUUUCUUGUUCUCUUUUUUUUUCUCUCUCUCUUCCUUUGUUUUAAUCUCUUUAUUCGCACUCGCGAUUCUCUUAUCUUGCCUUUUCAAACCGAGAUUAGCUCGUUGCGCAGUUAGCACACCAUCCCAGUGUCUCUGUGACGUGUGUGUACAUAAUCCAACAGUAUAAUGGAACACAACGGGGAUGUUGGAGAAACAAUGAAGAGAUUGCUGCAUUAGGAGUUCGAGGUGUUUCUUCCGUUUUGGGGGUACUCGUGGGGAAUACUAAGUGCAUCGAGGAAAAAGGAUGAUUACUGGGAUGAGAGUCGAGAGACUUUUGGAUUAUCGUGAUGAUUCUGAUGGUGCGGGAAAUACCCCGGCGACGACCUUGCAGCCCAACCAGCCCAACCAACCAACGGGACAGGCUUGACGACGUGACCAGGAUGUUUAUCGACUCAUUUUCCAGGGAUGCCAUCUACGGAAUCACAAGUUCCGAUGCUAUUUCACGCGGAUUCUGCACUUGUGCACAAAACCGUGUGUUUAAUUUUAACGUACUUUUUUGUUAUUCCAGUGACGAUUUCAUGGGAUUUUAUUCUCUAUUGAUGCCUGAUCGAACGGGGGGCUUGAGGUCUUUCAGUGGAUGAAGCUUUUCGGAAUCUACAUGGAGAUGGAAAUAUAUUUCAGUCUGGGACUGAUAGGCUUGAUGUGGUUCUUCAGGGCACCGAUUUUCAAGUAAUAUGCUUGAGGCAAAUACUCAAUCACUUUCGGAGGACAAUUGGUAUUUAUUGAAGAAUUUCACCCGGACUUUGGCCGAUCGGACCGCAGAAUUUUCGAGAAAAGCGAGUGAAGAGACCGCGAAAUAUUCAGGCUAAGAGGCAAUACCCGAAAUAAAACCAUCUCGAAUUCGCUCUAAUUGGCGAUACCGAAAAAAACAUCUGUAAAAUUAAUAAUUUCAUAAUUUCUUUCCCAUAAAUCGAUUUUAAUAACCGCUUCCUAGAAAUAAAAAGUGGAAAGUGCGUGAAAUUGUAUUUUUCUCGAAACAUUCUAUAUAAAACCGAAGUUUUAACGAUUGCAAGCCUAAUUAUUAUUCCACAUGAAGAGGAAAAACAAAAUAUAUAAUACGUUGCUGGAUGUAAGCCAACCACCACCAUCACUUUCGCUGGAGCAGUUUCCUUUUUCCUCGUGCACACGGUGGCUGAAGAGGGCCAUUUUGGAAACAACCGGUUCUUGUUGCCACUCUACAAUAUAUCCCAUCAUUAGUCUCACGAGAAUCAGAAGUGCAAAAUGAUGAAUUAACGAAGACAUCUAUAAAUAGAGAAGGACGUCUCCUGUGUAUAAAAAUCGACUGAAGUGGAAAGUAAUGAAGUCAACUGAUUAUUUUUCUAGACAGCAGCAUCGUCUAGCAAAAUAUUUUUCCCAGUUGCCAGUUGAAAAAAGAAAUCCCGCCCCAAUACCUAUUUAAAGACGGCGAAUGAAUAAAAAAGACGAUGUUAUGAAACAAAACGAGAAGCUCCAAGUGACCAAACAUUCUCAGCUGGAUACAUAAGGGAGAUUGAUAUCUCCACAGGGUAGACUUGUGCUUUCAGCCAAAGCACACACGUGAAAGUGUGCCAUCGGACAAUUGCAGUGAGCACCAGAGGAAAUCCCCAGCGUCAUUUCGUCGACGAGGUUUGCCAAAGAGUUGACCGCUUUUCUCGCCCGUGAAACGUUUUGACACAAACAUAUACAUCACGGCAUUAACAACGCCUUCUAAUUUGAAAAACAGUAAACAAAAGAAAUAGAUGUUAACGUCACAUUCGGCUCGUAGCCUAUUUUUCAAUCUCCACGAGGCCGUCAAAAUAUACAAGAUACAAUAAUAAAAUACCUGAUAAAGACAUCAGGAAAAACAAAGAAUACACUCCUUUCCGGUAAUUACACCACUUCCGUUGUCAAAAAAUAUUCAUGCUAAUGGGACCCAAUUUUUCAUUGUUCCAAGUGGUAUGAAAAGAUGAAAAAUGGCAGCGGGGGGAAAAUGGCGGUUGUAUGGGUUGACACCAUUCUGCGUUUGCUGUGAAGUUUUAACGCUUUUGGAAUUCGAAACGGAUUCAUAUUGUUCAACCGAACAAACGUCUCGGUGAAAAUAAAGAGAGGAAUGAGUGAAAAGAGAGAAAUGAGUUAAAAGAGAGGAAAAGGGAGAGUUUACAGACGAGAGACAGAUGUAUGGAGUACUAGCACGACGAAAGACGUUAACGUUUGCUGUUUUCACGACGAAGAUUGGUCGCAGGUGGCCAGUACAGCAACUCUCAGCACGUGUGGUACUUGCUGGCUGAAUAACACGGGUUUGUUGCACAAAGUUGCAUCAAACAGAGUCAUGUUACUGGUGCAGAAUCAAAACACGAUGGUUUUGUUUAAUCGACGAGUUUCGGCCAUUUUAUUCGGUCAAAUU